rnacentral:rRNA from 1 species
UGGCGGACGGGUGAGUAACGCGUGAGAAUCUCCCUUCAGGAUGGGGACAACCGUUGGAAACGACGGCUAAUCCCCAAUGUGCCGAGAGGUGAAAGGGUUUCCGCCUGAAGAAGAGCUCGCGUCCGAUUAGUUAGUUGGUGAGGUAAGAGCUCACCAAGGCAGCGAUCGGUAGCUGGUCUGAGAGGAUGAGCAGCCACACUGGGACUGAGACACGGCCCAGACUCCUACGGGAGGCAGCAGUGGGGAAUUUUCCGCAAUGGGCGAAAGCCUGACGGAGCAACGCCGCGUGUGGGAAGAAGGCUCUUGGGCUGUCAACCACUUUUCUCAGGGAAGAAGACCUGACGGUACCUGAGGAAUCAGCCUCGGCUAACUCCGUGCCAGCAGCCGCGGUAAUACGGAGGAGGCAAGCGUUAUCCGGAAUUAUUGGGCGUAAAGCGUCCGCAGGGGGCGCAUCAAGUCUGCUGUUAAAGGCUGGAGCUUAACUCCGGUAGAGCAGUGGAAACUGGUGCGCUAGAGGGCGACAGGGGUAGAGGGAAUUCCCAGUGUAGCGGUGAAAUGCGUAGAGAUUGGGAAGAACACCGGUGGCGAAAGCGCUCUACUGGGUCGCACCUGACCCUCAGGGACGAAAGCUAAGGUAGCGAAAGGGAUUAGAUACCCCUGUAGUCUUAGCCGUAAACGAUGGAUACUAGGGCGUGGCUUGUAUCGACCCA